rnacentral:lncRNA from 1 species
UAAGUGAAGGUUAGAAGUUUACUACUGUUGUUGUUGUAUGGAAAUGAUGGAUUUUUACAUGGUGGUUGGGUGGUUCAAAGAAGAAAAGAGGGUUUGGGUGAGUUAGAGUUUAGGUUGAAAAGAGGGAGCUUGAAGGUGAUUUGGGCAGAGGUUUUGUGGCUUUUUAAGCUUGAAAAUGAGUGGGGAUAAUGCUCUGUUUAUAAGGGAAGCAAAGGGGUUGAAGUGGGUGAAAGAAAAGGUCAUUUGGGUAAAAACAUAGUCAUUUCUGCUGUCUUCGCAGGUGUAAUCGGUUACCCUGAUUAAGGUAACGGGUUACACAGUCCCAAAAUGGCCAAAAAGUCAUUUUUUGGUCUGUGUAACCGGUUACUCAAUUUUAUUUUAUUUUAUUUUAAUUUUUUAAAUUUUUUUUUUCAAAUAAUGAAUGUAUGCAUGUGUAGUAGGGUCAUGGAUCAUAUGAAAAUUGUAUCGGGGUAUGGUGAAUUUUGGGGUAUGAC